UGCGUAGGCGGCGAAGUGUGUCAGAGGUGAAAGCUCACGGCUCAACCGUGGAAUUGCCUUUGAAACUGCUUCGCUUGAGUCCGAGAGAGGACGAUGGAAUUCCUGGUGUAACGGUGAAAUGUGCAGAUAUCAGGAAGAACACCGGUGGCGAAGGCGGUCAUCUGGCUCGGUACUGACGCUGAGGCACGAAAGCUAGGGUAUCAAACG
rnacentral:rRNA from 1 species